GGCUCUGUGGUGCAAUGGAUAGCACAUUGGAUUGCUAAUUCAAAGAUUGUGGGUUCAAGUCUCACCAGAGUCA